GCUGCUUUGGACUUAUUUGUUGCUCUUACGAGUAACGGUUUAGGGUAUUUUUUCAGGCGGUUCGGCAUUUCAAAAAAAAUCUCUAGAUUUGAUCGCUUUCUCGUGUCGCAGCCGAUACGAAAGAAGUUAAAUUGGGUCCGCUGAGACACAGAAAAAUGAUCAAAAACAAGAGAUUUUAGGUAAAAGUAGGCCAUUUUUUCGACAUGUUGAACUGACAUAAAAAA
ensembl:ncRNA M02F4.11 ncRNA